AGUGAACGCUGGCGAUAGGCCUAACACAUGCAAGUCGAACGGCAGCACAGUAAGAGCUUGCUCUUACGGGUGGCGAGUGGCGGACGGGUGAGGAAUACAUCGGAAUCUACUUUUUCGUGGGGGAUAACGUAGGGAAACUUACGCUAAUACCGCAUACGACCUACGGGUGAAAGCAGGGGAUCUUCGGACCUUGCGCGAUUGAAUGAGCCGAUGUCGGAUUAGCUAGUUGGCGGGGUAAAGGCCCACCAAGGCGACGAUCCGUAGCUGGUCUGAGAGGAUGAUCAGCCACACUGGAGCUGAGACACGGUCCAGACUCCUACGGGAGGCAGCGGUGGGGAAUAUUGGACAAUGGGCGCAAGCCUGAUCCAGCCAUACCGCGUGGGUGAAGAAGGCCUUCGGGUUGUAAAGCCCUUUUGUUGGGAAAGAAAAGCAGCAGGUUAAUACCCCGCUGUUCUGACGGUACCCAAAGAAUAAGCACCGGCUAACUUCGUG
rnacentral:rRNA from 1 species